rnacentral:rRNA from 1 species
CGACCCCAGGUCAGACGGGACUACCCGCUGAGUUUAAGCAUAUAAAUAAGCGGAGGAGAAGAAACUUACAAGG